AGGGAAUAUUGGUCAAUGGAUGCAAGUCUGAACCAGCCAUGCCGCGUGCAGGAAGAAGGCCUUCUGGGUUGUAAACUGCUUUUGCCGGGGGAUAAAAUUCCCAUGCGUGGGACAUUGAAGGUACCCGGUGAAUAAGCCACGGCUAACUACGUGCCAGCAGCCGCGGUGACACGUAGGCACCAAGCGUUGUCCGGAUUUAUUGGGCGUAAAGAGCUCGUAGGCGGUUCAGUAAGUCGGGUGUGAAAACUCUGGGCUCAACCCAGAGACGCCACCCGAUACUGCUGUGACUUGAGUACGGUAGGGGAGCGGGGAAUUCCUGGUGUAGCGGUGAAAUGCGCAGAUAUCAGGAGGAACACCAGUGGCGAAGGCGCCGCUCUGGGCCGUAACUGACGCUGAGGAGCGAAAGCGUGGGGAGCAAA
rnacentral:rRNA from 1 species